rnacentral:rRNA from 1 species
CCUACGGGUGGCAGCAGUGGGGGAUAUUGCACAAUGGGGGAAACCCUGAUGCAGCGACGCCGCGUGUGGGAAGACGGUCCUCUGGAUUGUAAACCACUGUCCCCAGGGACGAAGAUGACGGUACCUGGUGAGGAAGCUCCGGCUAACUACGUGCCAGCAGCCGCGGGAAUACGUAGGGAGCGAGCGUUGUACGGAAUUACUGGGUGUAAAGGGAGCGUAGGCGGGACUGCAAGUUGGGUGUCAAAUCUACCGGCUCAACCGGUAGCCGCACUCAAAACUGCAGUUCUUGAGUGAAGUAGAGGCAGGCGGAAUUCCUAGUGUAGCGGUGAAAUGCGUAGAUAUUAGGAGGAACACCAGUGGCGAAGGCGGCCUGCUGGGCUUUUACUGACGCUGAGGCUCGAAAGUGUGGGGAGCAAACAGGAUUAGAUACCCCUGUAGUC